ACAGCUUUCAAGUAUAAAAAUAUAUAUAAAGAUCACAUGCUGUGGAGACACAGGAAGAGAAAUACAGAUUUGAGGAGAAAAAGAAACAGAAUUCUCAGGACCUACAAACAAAAAUAUUUGUACUACUUGAACGUUAUUGAUGCAAGCGAUUGGUAGAGGAAGCUGCAAGUGAAAAGAUUGUGAGGCCAAGAGCAUGCAAAAUAUGUUCAAGGAACAACAAGGUGUCUGGCAUGGCUGGAGCAGAGAGAAGCACUGAUAGAGAGCAGCUGAGGACGGAGGGAGCCAGAGGUCAGGCCACGAAGCUUUGCAGAUCAUGUUUAUAUGAGCGUGACUUUAGCUUGGCUCAUCUGAGAAGGAUAUUUGAGCUGGAUACCAAAGCUGUGAUCUGAAGGAUAAGAAGAACUUACCCAGACAUUGAGGAGAAGUCAUCGUUCUGUAUGUAAAGACACUAAUGAGAGCUGAAGUCUGAAGGACACUUCAGACGAACUGCCUACUUGAAUUUGCAGCACAACAAGCAAUAGGCCUCCUUCAGGCACCUUUGUGGAAGAAGAGCUUCUUGCCUGGUCUGUCCAUCCCCUGAUCCAGCAUCGCAGCUG